UAAAAAGCACCGGUGGAAGGAAGGAAGGAUGGAACGUCGAACCAGGCAUGGAAUCAUCAGCGUCAGGUUAGGUUAGGUUCUAUAUUGUUAGCCAUCGAAGCCUUUAUCCUCUCAACUCUUCUUCUUCUUCUUCUUCUUCUUCUUCUUCUUCUUUUGAGCGCAAACAGGUUUUCUUACAUGAAGCCAGCCAGCCAGCCCCUCUCUCCCUCUAAUUUGCUUCGUUUUUGGAAAGGACACCAUAAUCUUCUUUGGUUGCUUCAACCAGCUGGAAAUGCAACCCUGUUUCAAUUGGAUACUUUACUUUACUAACAUGUUAUGGAUGGAUGGAUGGAUGAAUAUGACCUCUCUCAACGAGGAAGGAAGCUUCAUGAAUACCAUUUAUAACUUUGUGCCCUCACUCCCUGAAGGUCAGAUUAACUUCAUCUCCUGUCGCUGGCCUAUUAAGGAUUUCCAAUAUGACACUAUCUUCUUUCUUCUCCUAUAGUAUUUGCCUCAAAUAGUAUUCAAAAAGUAUUCUAUAAGUGUAUCUGGGUUUUUCGAACCAAAAAUUUCCAAACAAUAUCGUUCAGAACUUCGAUUAAAUUUUCUGACAUGUACAUCAUGGUAAUAUUGUUGUUGAUUUUU